UACAGAGAGUGCGAGCGUUAAUCAGAAUUACUGGGCGUAAAGCGCGCGUAGGUGGACGAUUAAGUCAGAUGUGAAAGCCCCGGGCUCAACUUGGGAACUGCAUCUGAUACUGGUCGCCUAGAGUAUAGUAGAGGGAAGUGGAAUUUCCGGUGUAGCGGUGAAAUGCGUAGAUAUCGGAAGGAACACCAGUGGCGAAAGCGGCUUCCUGGACUAAUACUGACACUGAGGUGCGAAAGCGUGGGGAGCAAACAGG
rnacentral:rRNA from 1 species